rnacentral:rRNA from 1 species
GAUGAACGCUGGCGGCGUGCCUAAUACAUGCAAGUCGAGCGAACGGACGAGAAGCUUGCUUCUCUGAUGUUAGCGGCGGACGGGUGAGUAACACGUGGAUAACCUACCUAUAAGACUGGGAUAACUUCGGGAAACCGGAGCUAAUACCGGAUAAUAUUUUGAACCGCAUGGUUCAAAAGUGAAAGACGGUCUUGCUGUCACUUAUAGAUGGAUCCGCGCUGCAUUAGCUAGUUGGUAAGGUAACGGCUUACCAAGGCAACGAUGCAUAGCCGACCUGAGAGGGUGAUCGGCCACACUGGAACUGAGACACGGUCCAGACUCCUACGGGAGGCAGCAGUAGGGAAUCUUCCGCAAUGGGCGAAAGCCUGACGGAGCAACGCCGCGUGAGUGAUGAAGGUCUUCGGAUCGUAAAACUCUGUUAUCAGGGAAGAACAUAUGUGUAAGUAACUGUGCACAUCUUGACGGUACCUAAUCAGAAAGCCACGGCUAACUACGUGCCAGCAGCCGCGGUAAUACGUAGGUGGCAAGCGUUAUCCGGAAUUAUUGGGCGUAAAGCGCGCGUAGGCGGUUUUUUAAGUCUGAUGUGAAAGCCCACGGCUCAACCGUGGAGGGUCAUUGGAAACUGGAAAACUUGAGUGCAGAAGAGGAAAGUGGAAUUCCAUGUGUAGCGGUGAAAUGCGCAGAGAUAUGGAGGAACACCAGUGGCGAAGGCGACUUUCUGGUCUGUAACUGACGCUGAUGUGCGAAAGCGUGGGGAUCAAACAGGAUUAGAUACCCUGGUAGUCCACGCCGUAAACGAUGAGUGCUAAGUGUUAGGGGGUUUCCGCCCCUUAGUGCUGCAGCUAACGCAUUAAGCACUCCGCCUGGGGAGUACGACCGCAAGGUUGAAACUCAAAGGAAUUGACGGGGACCCGCACAAGCGGUGGAGCAUGUGGUUUAAUUCGAAGCAACGCGAAGAACCUUACCAAAUCUUGACAUCCUUUGACAACUCUAGAGAUAGAGCCUUCCCCUUCGGGGGACAAAGUGACAGGUGGUGCAUGGUUGUCGUCAGCUCGUGUCGUGAGAUGUUGGGUUAAGUCCCGCAACGAGCGCAACCCUUAAGCUUAGUUGCCAUCAUUAAGUUGGGCACUCUAAGUUGACUGCCGGUGACAAACCGGAGGAAGGUGGGGAUGACGUCAAAUCAUCAUGCCCCUUAUGAUUUGGGCUACACACGUGCUACAAUGGACAAUACAAAGGGCAGCGAAACCGCGAGGUCAAGCAAAUCCCAUAAAGUUGUUCUCAGUUCGGAUUGUAGUCUGCAACUCGACUACAUGAAGCUGGAAUCGCUAGUAAUCGUAGAUCAGCAUGCUACGGUGAAUACGUUUCCCGGGUCU